rnacentral:lncRNA from 1 species
GCACAUACUCAUAAUACCAAAAUUUUGAUUUGAUCUAAUUAACAAAAACUAUUCUACUUAAUUAGAAUCAUACCCUCAUUAAUUUCGAAAAGCAACAAGUAUCAGUUGCUUGAUCACAACCUCGAGUCUUCUGCUGUAUUCCUCACACACGCCUUGCACCAAAGAGAGUGGGCUCGCAGCUGCUAGAGUUCUUCGAAUAUUUUUUUUAACCCUAGCUGCUAUAUAGAGCGCAUAUAUGUAGGCUACAAUAGGGACCCUAAACUCAGUAUAAUUAGACUUCCUACACAAAUAAGAAUUUCUAAUCCAACCAGGAUUAAUCUCUAUUUAUGUAAAUUAUAAUUAAGUCCACUAAAUAAUUAUAAUUGUAUAUAUUUUGAGCUCUAUUUUAUUAAAUGCUUAUUUAUUUUCUCACGUUAAAAUGACAGAUACCCACCUAUUAAAUUAAAUUACUGAUAAUUAAAUUUAAAGACCUAUUAAUUUAAUUCUUAAGCCUGCCACUUGAACUUAUUUGAUUGACGGAUUCAUAUCUACCUGCAGGGUUUGAACUAAUCAAACCCUAUAAGCUUUCUCAAGGGAGUAUCAUCAAUCCCUAGACCGAGAUGCGGAUUCUAUUAAUAAUUAAUGUUCACCAUACACAUAAUAUUAUUGCCCAAUUCACUAAGUUUAUUGACCUAUAAAAAAUUUUACUAUUUCGUGAAUCAAAAUAAUAAAUAUUAAAUGCAUGUGUCUAUUUAUUAUAUAAGGAUUAUGAAUAUAAGCACUCAUAAUAAAUAUGAGGUAUUAAUUAUUUUAUAUAGUCAGUAUAAAAAUAAUUAUUUCAACACGGUUCUGUUCAAUACACAUAAAAUAUACUAGUGCAAAAAGUUGGAAUUACACUGUUUCUCAUUAGUCAAGACAUACCUAUUAAAAUCUUGCACUACAGUCCUACUGAUGGUGUGUCCAAUUACAUCUAAGAUUGUAAACGAUAAACUUAUAUUUUAUAAGAAUCAAUGAUCUGAUCUUUUGUGUGUAAGUCAUACUCUAUAACAACCAAAUUAUUUAUUUUAUAGAAUAAGAGAUACACAUGCACAAUCAUUAAAUAAAUAAUGAAUGCAAACAUUGCUUACACAGAUUCUCAUUAAAAUAGAAUAACUAAUUUAUAAAUAAAUAAUAAAGUCAUUAAAUAAAGCAUAUCUUUUAGUAUCAAUCCCUCACGUAAGAGACUCGCAGUUUAAACAAAAGGGGAAAGUAGGAGGCAUUGGGCUUCAAUCCUUCAUUUCCAUCGAAGUGGGAUUAAAAUGAAGGAGAUGAGUUCAUUCCCACAGAUGAGGGAUUAAAUCGAAUGUCAUAUAGGAGAGAGUAAUAAUAACUUUAUGCUACAUGACCCUAUACUACGCUUGCAAUACUACACUUUGAUAUAUAUUUAAUAAUAUGUUACUCAAUUAUGACAUAACAGUUCAAUUCUGAUUCAACUAUAAACGUGUUUUAAAAAACGAAUCGGACCAUCCAGUUCCCAAUUCACCAAAUAGUGUAUUAAAAAUGGAUUGGACUGGACGGGCACGCAAUUUAAUCGUUAAAUUGACAUUCUUAAAUUGGACGGUUCGCAAAACCUUUUGAUUGCAAACUUCAAUCCUUCUUUCCUCCGAUGUGAGAUUAAAAUGAAGGAGAGACCCACGAUUUAAACAAAAAUGUUGAAAUGGGAGGCGUUAAAAUAGGAAGCCUUUGGGCUUCAAUCCUUCAUUUCCAUUGAUGCUAUUGAUGCGUGACUAAAAUGAAGGAAAUGAGUUCAUGCCAUGUAAGAGAGAGAAAUGAUAACUUUAUGCAACAUGACAUAUACUGCAUUUGCAAUACUACACGUUAUAUAUACCACAUAUAUAUAUAUAUAUAUAAUAUAUAUAUAUAUAUAUAUAUUAUAUAUAUAUAUAUAUAGUACACAAUUAUGACAUCACAGUUCGAUUCUAGUUCAAUCAUAAUCGUGUUUUAAAAAUCGUAUCAAACAGGCACGAUAUUUAAUAGUUAAUCGACAUUUUUAAACUGGGUGGUUUACAAACUUUUAGACUGCAAGUUUUAAUCAUUCCUUCCCAUAGAUGUGGGAUUAAAAUAAAAAAAGAGGUUCACAAUUUAAACGAAAUGGUGAAUUAUGAGUUAUUAGAUAGGAGGCCUUAGGGCUUCAAUAUUUCGUCUCACCAAUAUGAGAUUAAAAUGAAUGAGAGACUUAUGUUUUAAACAAAAUGUUGAACUGAGAAGUAUUAAAUAGGAUGCCUUAGGUUUUCAAUAUUUCAUUCCCAUCAACGUGGAAUUAAAAAUGAAGGAGAAGGGUUCAUGCCAUGUAGAAGAUAGAAAUGAUAGCUUUAUGCCACACGACAUUAUUCCAAUGUUUGCUGGCCAGUUGAAUUGUAAACCGACCCUUAUUAUGGGCACACAACCAAUCACAUAGUUUAAUCGUUAAAUCAGUAUUCUUAAAUCGGACGGUUUACAAAAUCUUUUGACUGCAAGCUUCAAUCCCUCCUUCCCAUGUUGG